UACGUAGGUGGCAAGCGUUGUCCGGAAUUAUUGGGCGUAAAGCGCGCGCAGGCGGUCCUUUAAGUCUGAUGUGAAAGCCCACGGCUCAACCGUGGAGGGUCAUUGGAAACUGGGGGACUUGAGUGCAGAAGAGGAAAGCGGAAUUCCACGUGUAGUGGUGAAAUGCGUAGAGAUCCGGAGGAACACCAGUGGCGAAGGCGACACGCUGGGCCGUACCUGACACUGAUGCGCGACAGCAUGGGGAGCAAACAGG
rnacentral:rRNA from 1 species